GUGAAAAUGGUCAUACAAUACACGUCUGACGUUCAGGAUUUGUCCGAAGAAAUGGAGGCAUCUUGAAUCAAGGUUUGUUCAAACAAUAUUGAUGUUCUUGUAUCUUUGUUCCCAAAUGGCUCGUCCACAUUAACGUUAGCUGCAGCACUCCAAGUAAUCACCAUUGGGUCACCUUAAGGAGAUAAAGUUUGUAAUUUUAUAUAUGUACGCAUUCAAUGUUUUUAUAAUUGGUGUGAAAAAAAAAGAUUGAAAAAGUCAACUUGUUUCUUGUUUUUUAUUUUAUUUAGAACAACACAUGUUUUAAGCAUUGUAUCUGUGAUAUAGUACAUUUAAAAUUAAAUUAUCUCAAAACAGUAUAUUUAAACAUUAAAUAUAGGUGACAUGUAUGAAGGGCAUCGCCAGCACUGGCUGUGCCGGUUAGGUUUUUUUUUUUUUUCUUCCUUAACCACCUUCAGGUUUUAAUUUUGUAUUUGUAUUAAAAACAAUGUAGUUACUGAAAUACUAUAAAACACUUUCUAUGCAUAACAAGUUUGCAGACAUUUUUGUUUUUGUUCUUCUACAGUAGCUCACUUUUCCACUUGUGAUUCCUGGAACUGUAAGCUUUCAGGUGCCAUUAUUUUCAGUUAAAAUAUUCAUCUCAUGAACUGUGGCCGGAAAACAGAGACUGAGGGCUUGAAUUUGAACAGCAAUUGUUGCAAUUCAA